GACGAACGCUGGCGGCGUGCCUAAUACAUGCAAGUCGAACGAGAGCGACCGGUGCUUGCACUGGUCACUCUAGUGGCGAACGGGUGAGUAACACGUGGGUAACCUGCCCAUCAGAGGGGGAUAACAUCCGGAAACGGAUGCUAACACCGCAUAGGUCUUCGAACCGCAUGGUUUGAAGAGGAAAAGAGGCGCAAGCUUCUGCUGAUGGAUGGACCCGCGGUGCAUUAGCUAGUUGGUGAGGUAACGGCUCACCAAGGCCGCGAUGCAUAGCCGACCUGAGAGGGUGAUCGGCCACAUUGGAACUGAGACACGGCCCAAACUCCUACGGGAGGCAGCAGUAGGGAAUCUUCCGCAAUGGACGCAAGUCUGACGGAGCAACGCCGCGUGAGUGAAGAAGGUUUUCGGAUCGUAAAACUCUGUUGUUAGAGAAGAACAAGUGCUAGAGUAACUGUUAGCGCCUUGACGGUACCUAAUCAGAAAGCCACGGCUAACUACGUG
rnacentral:rRNA from 1 species